rnacentral:rRNA from 1 species
GACGAACCGUGCGAACGUUGUUCGGAAUCACUGGGCGUAAAGGGCGCGUAGGCGGCCUCUUAAGUCGAACGUGAAAUCCCCGGGCUCAACCCGGGAACUGCGUCCGAUACUGGGGGGCUUGAAUCCGGGAGAGGGAUGUGGAAUUCCAGGUGUAGCGGUGAAAUGCGUAGAUAUCUGGAGGAACACCGGUGGCGAAGGCGGCAUCCUGGACCGGUAUUGACGCUGAGGCGCGAAAGCCAGGGGAGCAAACGGG